GACGAACGCUGGCGGCGUGCUUAACACAUGCAAGUCGAACGGAAAGGCCCUGCUUGCAGGGUACUCGAGUGGCGAACGGGUGAGUAACACGUGGGUGAUCUGCCCUGCACUUCGGGAUAAGCCUGGGAAACUGGGUCUAAUACCGGAUAGGAGCCAUUUUUAGUGUGAUGGUUGGAAAGUUUUUUCGGUGUAGGAUGAGCUCGCGGCCUAUCAGCUUGUUGGUGGGGUAAUGGCCUACCAAGGCGGCGACGGGUAGCCGGCCUGAGAGGGUGGACGGCCACAUUGGGACUGAUAUACGGCCCAGACUCCUACGGGAGGCAGCAGUGGGGAAUAUUGCACAAUGGGCGCAAGCCUGAUGCAGCGACGCCGCGUGGGGGAUGACGGCCUUCGGGUUGUAAACUCCUUUCGCUAGGGACGAAGCUUUUUGUGACGGUACCUAGAGAAGAAGCACCGGCUAACUACGUG
rnacentral:rRNA from 1 species